rnacentral:siRNA from 1 species
UAAAACACAUAUUCAUGAGUCAC